rnacentral:rRNA from 1 species
GGAUUAGAUACCCUGGUAGUCCACACCGUAAACGAUGACAGCUAGUUGUUGGCAGGCAUGCCUGUCGGUGACGCAGCUAACGCAUUAAGCUGUCCGCCUGGGGAGUACGGCCGCAAGGUUAAAACUCAAAGAAAUUGACGGGGGCCCGCACAAGCGGUGGAGCAUGUGGUUUAAUUCGAAGCAACGCGCAGAACCUUACCUACCCUUGACAUGCCCGGUUUGGUUUCCAGAGAUGGAUUCCUUCAUUUAGGUGGCCGGUGCACAGGUGCUGCAUGGCUGUCGUCAGCUCGUGUUG